rnacentral:rRNA from 1 species
UACGGAGGGAGCUAGCGUUGUUCGGAAUUACUGGGCGUAAAGCGCACGUAGGCGGCUUUGUAAGUUAGAGGUGAAAGCCCUGAGCUCAACUCAGGAACUGCAUCCGAAACUGGCGGUCUGGAGUAGUGGAGAGGAAAGCAGAAUUCCUGGUGUAGAGGUGAAAUUCGUAGAUAUCAGGAGGAACGACCGGUGGCGAAGGCGGGUCUCUGGGCAGUAACUGACGCUGAGGAGCGAAAGCGUGGGGAGCGAACAGG